CUUUCCCCAUACAGGGAGGUUGGGAACUCAGCCCUGCUCAACUGCUUCCGUUUCCAAAGCGUGGGCCCCUAUGGUGUCUAUUGGGAGCAAGCUGCUCUAAGCAGGGCUUGUUGGAGCAGAGGCCCUGGUCUAACACGGCGAUGUCUCUCAGAUGCAGACUGUACCUCCUCUCUGUCAUUUGCCUUCUUCCAGCCGUGUCUGUGGGUGGCAUGUUGGAAAGGAGCAGCCAGGCAGGCUUCCUGGAGGAAGCGUCAGUCUUUGACAGCAGGAACUUGUCUCUAACUUCAGGCGGCUUCUCAUCAGGCAGCAAGACCUCUAAUCUCUCACAUCUCAUUUACUGGCACCGAGCCUCGCAAGCUUCCUGCUACUGAGCCUGGACUGAGACAAUCAACAUGUGACAUGAGACUGUCCUAGCGGUUGGGUAGUGACUGGACCCCACAGCUCCCCAGCCCCGAGGAAAACCAUGGUCCUCCUGUGGCUGUUUCUCCUGCUGGGGCUCACAUUUGCCACUUUCAGUUUAUGACGGGUCAGUGCAGCUACUGUGAGUGAAGGGCAUGUAUAAUGCCUCCCAAAUGCCUACUGUGUGCCCAAUACAUACUGGGCACUGGACACCUACGGUGUACUGAUCACCCACUAUGUGAUCUUCUCUGUAGCUCUCCAGUCAGUCA
rnacentral:lncRNA from 1 species